rnacentral:lncRNA from 1 species
AGAGAGUCAGAGGAAAGGAGACACAGAGAAGAAAGGGAGAUGGCUACAGCAAGGGGUUUUGUCCACUUCCUUCAAGGAUUCCUUGGAACCUAGUAGGUGGAGCGUAGCAAAUGAACAUUUCAGCUUCUGUCUUAUAGCAGACAUUGAAAGGCAUGAUUCUGUUUAAUUCUCUCUACGGCCUUUGAUGUUGGGAUUAUCAUCACUAUUUCAUAGAUAAAGAAAUUAAUUCAAACAGAAUAACUUCUCCAUUCCCAAGCAGGAGAUUCGACCGUGGCGGAGCUGGAGGACAGGGCCUGCGCUGGUAAUGACAAGGUUCCAGGACGUAAGAGCUGAACCGUUCCGAAGCCCCGCCUAUGGACCAGCCAAUCGGAAAGGGCUGUCUUCAGUCCGGGUUGGGCCGGAGCAAGUUUCCGGAGUUUCUUGCCAACCGUUGCCAGCGCAUUCUUAAUUGAUAAUGAAAUGCAAAGCCUAAUGUAAACUCACUACACAGAAGUUGGACACCCGAUUUCAUUAUGAGGCAGAAUUCUGAAACCACAAGCAAUAUUGGGGACAGUGCCAGAACCUGGUCUCAACUUGACUACAGACAGCCUGCAAACUGCCUUCACCGGGGAACAAAUCUUAACACUUGAUCAUAAUAUGGUUUUGUUAAAGUGAAAUUCAUCUCGUGUGCUUUUUUCCUUCACUGUCUAUUUAAAUCCUCUAAAUUCCUUGUGUGUUUGUGGUAUGAAUGGUCAAAAAUGAUGUGGAAAGAAUUGUUUCCUAUAACAGACACUGGUCAUUAGAGAAUCAUGAUAAUCACG